rnacentral:rRNA from 1 species
UACCCGCUGAAUUUAAGCAUAUAAGUAAGCGGAGGCUAAGAAACUAAAGAGGAUUCCCCUAGUAAUGGCGAAUGAACAGGGAUCAGCUCAGUAUGGCAAUCGGGCCUGUGGUCUUGACUUGUGGUCUCCAGAUGUGUUGCCAGCGGAGGCGCAGGCGUGUGCCUCUUGGAAAAGAGCAUCAGCGAGGGUGAGAAUCCCUUUUCUCUGCAGCCCUCCGCGCCCGGCGUGCAUUAUUCGAGUCGCGCUCUUCGGAACUGGAGUGCAAAUUGGGUGGUAAUUUUCAUCUAAAGCUUAACAUUGGUUCAAGACCGAUAGCAAACAAGUACCAUGAGGGAAAGGUGAAAAGGACUUUGAAAAGAGAGUUAAAAGUGCCUGAAGUUGCUGAAAAGGAAGCGAAUGGAACCUGUGCUUCUAGGCGAGAUUGUUGCGUGCUCAUAUGAUUGCUUGCCCCUGCAGCGUGAGUGUACGGGUGAGCCUUGUCUAGGAUGCAUGCAGUGGUUCUUGCCUUGUCUGUCAAAUCCAGUUUACACUUGAGGACAACGCCAGGGGCAUUGUAAGCUGGCCUCGGCUGCCUGAAUACGCCUGGUGGGACUCUUCGUUGAACUGUUAUGUGUGUGUCUGGUUGCAGUGCCUUUGUGAAAAAACGCAUUCUGGUGAGGGGAACUUCAUGUGGAAUCGCUGACAGAGGUGUCUCCCUGAUACAUUGCGUAUGACCAAAAGGCUCCACUCGACCCGUCUUGAAACACGGACCAAGGAGUCUAACAUAUGUGCAAGUACACGGGUGGGCAAACCUGCUUGCGUAAUGAAAGUGAGGGCUGGGAUUUCUGCACCAGCAACCGACCAAUCAAUUGAGAGAGGUUUGAGUGUGAGCAUGUCUGUUAGGACCCGAAAGAUGGUGAACUAUGCCUGUGAAGGGUAAGCUCAGGGGAAACUCUGAUGGAGGCUCGUAGCGAUACUGACGUGCAAAUCGUUCGUCAUACAUGGGUAU